rnacentral:rRNA from 1 species
AGAGUUUGAUCCUGGCUCAGGAUGAACGCUGNCGGCGUGCUUAAUACAUGCAAGUUGAACGAACAAGAAUCUAGCUUGCUAGAUUCAAGUUAGUAGCGAACGGGUGAGUAAUACAUAAAUAACCUGCCCUGAAGAGUGGGACAACGCUUGGAAACGAACGCUAAUACCACAUAGGUAAUCGGAAGGCAUCUUCUGAUUAUUAAAGUUGCGUUUGCAACACUACAGGAUGGAUUUAUGGCGCAUUAGUUAGUUGGUGAGGUAACGCCCANCCAAGACGAUGAUGGUGUAGCCGNCCUGAGAGGGUGAACGGCCACAUUGGGACUGAGACACGGCCCAGACUCCUACGGGAGGCAGCAGUAAGGAAUUUUCGGCAAUGGAGGAAACUCUGACCGAGCAACGCCGCGUGAGUGAUGAAGGUCUUCGGAUCGUAAAGCUCUGUUGUGAAGGACGAAUACGAAAAGUAGGCAAUGACUUUUCGCUGACGGUACUUUACUAGAAAGUCACGGCUUACUACGUGCCAGCAGCCGCGGUAAUACGUAGGUGGCAAGCGUUAUCCGGAUUUAUUGGGCGUAAAGGGUGCGUAGGCGGUCUAUUAAGUUUGGGGUAAAAGCGUUGAGCUUAACUCAAUCAAGCCUUGAAUACUGAUAGACUAGAGUGCAGAAGGGGAUAAUGGAAUUCCAUGUGUAGCGGUAAAAUGCGUAGAUAUAUGGAGGAACACCAGCAGCGAAGGCGGUUAUCUGGUCUGUAACUGACGCUGAGGCACGAAAGCGUGGGGAGCAAAUAGGAUUAGAUACCCUAGUAGUCCACGCCCUAAACGAUGAGAACUAAGUGUUGGAGAAAUUCAGCGCUGCAGUUAACGCAAUAAGUUCUCCGCCUGAGGAGUAUGCACGCAAGUGUGAAACUUAAAGGAAUUGACGGGGCCCCGCACAAGCGGUGGAGUAUGCGGUUUAAUUCGACGCAACGCGAAGAACCUUACCAGGCCUUGACAUCCCUUGCAAAGUCUUAGAGAUAAGAUAGAGGUUAUCAAGGUGACAGGUGGUGCAUGGUUGUCGUCAGCUCGUGUCGUGAGAUGUUGGGUUAAGUCCCGCACCGAGCGCAACCCUUGUCUUUAGUUACCAUCAUUUAGUUGGGGACUCUAGAGAGACUGCCGGUGAUAAACCGGAGGAAGGUGGGGAUGACGUCAAAUCAUCAUGCCCUUUAUGGCCUGGGCUACACGCGUACUACAAUGGCGUAGACAAUUAGAUGCAAGAUGGUGACAUGGAGCAAAACUGUAAACUACGUCUCAGUUCGGAUCGAAGUCUGCAACCCGACUUCGUGAAGUUGGAAUCGCUAGUAAUCGCAGAUCAGCAUGCUGCGGUGAAUACGUUCUCGGGGCUUGUACACACCGCCCGUCAAACCAUGAGAGUCGGUAAUACCCGAAGCCGGUGGCAUAACCGUAAGGAGUGAGCUGUCUAAGGUAGGACCGAUGAUUGGGGUUAAGUCGUAACAAGGCAUCCCUACGAGAACGUGCGUCUGGAUCACCUCC